rnacentral:rRNA from 1 species
AUUGAACGCUGGCGGCAGGCCUAACACAUGCAAGUCGAACGAGUGGCGGACGGGUGAGUAAUGUCUGGGAAACAGCCCGAUGGAGGGGGGUAACUACUGGAAACGGUAGCUCAUACCGCAUACCAUCGGAUGUGCCCAGAUGUGAUUAGCUAUUAGGUGGGGUAAAGGCUCACCUAGGCGACGAUCCCUAGCUGGUCUGAGAGGAUGACCAGCCACACUGGAACUGAGACACGGUCCAGACUCCUACGGGAGGCAGCAGUGGGGAAUAUUGCACAAUGGGCGCAAGCCUGAUGCAGCCAUGCCGCGUGUAUGAAGAAGGCCUUCGGGUUGUAAAGUACUUUCAGCGGGGAGGCGUUACCCGCAGAAGAAGCACCGGCUAACUCCGUGCCAGCAGCCGCGGUAAUUC